UACGUAGGGGGCAAGCGUUGUCCGGAUUUAUUGGGCGUAAAGAGCUCGUAGGUGGUUCGGUAAGUCGGAUGUGAAAUCUCCAGGCUCAACCUGGGGGGGUCAUUCGAUACUGCGGUGCUUGAGGACUGGAGAGGAGACUGGAAUUCAUGGUGUAGCAGUGAAAUGCGUAGAGAUCAUGAGGAAGACCAGUGGCGAAGGCGGGUCUCUGGACAGUUCCUGACACUGAGACACGAAGGCCAGGGGAGCAAACGGG
rnacentral:rRNA from 1 species